rnacentral:rRNA from 1 species
UGGGGAAUAUUGCACAAUGGGCGCAAGCCUGAUGCAACCAUGCCGCGUGUAUGAAGAAGGCCUUCGGGUUGUAAAGUACUUUCAGUCGGGAGGAAGGUGGUAAGGUUAAUAACCUUAUCAAUUGACGUUACCGACAGAAGAAGCACCGGCUAACUCCGUGCCAGCAGCCGCGGUAAUACGGAGGGUGCAAGCGUUAAUCGGAAUUACUGGGCGUAAAGCGCACGCAGGCGGUUGAUUGAGUCAGAUGUGAAAUCCCCGGGCUUAACCCGGGAAUUGUUUCGUAUACUGGUCAGCUAGAGUCUUGUAGAGGGGGGUAGAAUUCCAUGUGUAGCGGUGAAAUGCGUAGAGAUGUGGAGGAAUACCGGUGGCGAAGGCGGCCCCCUGGAUAAAGACUGACGCUCAGGUGCGAAAGCGUGGGGAGCAAACAGG